AGAACAUGGAGCUUAUAGCUCAACACACCACUCCUCCACAUUCCACCACCAGGGAACCUGAAUGGCCUGUCUGCUGACAUGAGGUCUGGAGAGUGCCGGGAGGCAGCACAUGGAUCAGCAGAUGUUAGGAAGAUUGGCAGCCCUCUGCUGGUUACUGUUAUCCCACAAAGCUUCUGUGGUGUCCAGGUGGACGCUGACGACACCAUGAAGUUCUUCACAUGGACUUGGAGACUUUCAUGCUGUGUGGACGUUCUCAAACCAAAAUAGCACAUUCAACCAGAAGAGGAAUGACAUCAUAGUUGUCAGUGAGACAUGAGAGAUUCUCGGCUUGCUGUCACGGCUCAGAUUUUGGCAACACUUUAAAUGAACGUUAAAUACAUUUACUACCAAGUAACUACAUAGCAAUACCCUGCAAAACAUUUUGGGUAUAUUGAAAUUGCUAUGUAAUUAAACAGUAUAUUAAGUGAUAGCGGUAUUGGUUGUUACAAAAGUUGAAGGUAAUAUGGGGGAGGGUGUAAGGGGUGAGUUAAACGUAAAACGGGCGGUUUCCAAAAAGCCACGUGUUGACGUCAACUCGGUGGCUCCACCUUAUUUGGCUCUGGUCUGUACCUUUUGUCACGCCACAAAAUGUACAUACACAUCUGACCAUAUGCUCAACACAACCGCAAGCUGUUAAUAUGAUUUUGUCGCUAACAGUUAUUAGCAAGGCUAAUGUCUCCUGUAUCUAGCAUCUAAAAUGUAUGAUGAUUUAGAUUAUGGCAAUGGGUUUAAUGUCAUUUUAUUUUCCUGACUGUUUCAUUCGAAUAAAUAACCUGUGUUGUCAUG